rnacentral:rRNA from 1 species
UAGGGAAUCUUCGGCAAUGGGGGGAACCCUGACCGAGCAACGCCGCGUGAGUGAAGAAGGUUUUCGGAUCGUAAAGCUCUGUUGUUAAGGAAGAACGAGUGUGAGAAUGGAAAGUUCAUGCUGUGACGGUACUUAACCAGAAAGGGACGGCUAACUACGUGCCAGCAGCCGGGUAAUACGUAGGUCCCGAGCGUUGUCCGGAUUUAUUGGGCGUAAAGCGAGCGCAGGCGGUUAGAAAAGUCUGAAGUGAAAGGCAGUGGCUCAACCAUUGUAGGCUUUGGAAACUGUUUAACUUGAGUGCAGAAGGGGAGAGUGGAAUUCCAUGUGUAGCGGUGAAAUGCGUAGAUAUAUGGAGGAACACCGGUGGCGAAAGCGGCUCUCUGGUCUGUAACUGACGCUGAGGCUCGAAAGCGUGGGGAGCGAACAGG